UGCAGACUUUUUUGGAUGGACAGGGAUUUUGACCCCCUUUCCAAAAAAAAAUUUUUUACCUUUAG
rnacentral:tRNA from 2 species